CGAAUGGCUCAUUAAAUCAGUUAUCGUUUAUUUGAUAGUACCUUACUACAUGGAUACCUGUGGUAAUUCUAGAGCUAAUACAUGCUACAAACCCCGACUUCAGGAAGGGGUGUAUUUAUUAGAUAAAAAACCAACGCCCUUCGGGGCUCCUUGGUGAAUCAUAAUAACUUAACGAAUCGCAUGGCCUUGCGCCGGCGAUGGUUCAUUCAAAUUUCUGCCCUAUCAACUUUCGAUGGUAGGAUAGUGGCCUACCAUGGUGGCAACGGGUAACGGGGAAUUAGGGUUCGAUUCCGGAGAGGGAGCCUGAGAAACGGCUACCACAUCCAAGGAAGGCAGCAGGCGCGCAAAUUACCCAAUCCCGAUACGGGGAGGUAGUGACAAUAAAUACUGAUACGGGGCUCUUUCGGGUCUCGUAAUUGGAAUGAGAACAAUUUAAAUCCCUUAACGAGGAACAAUUGGAGGGCAAGUCUGGUGCCAGCAGCCGCGGUAAUUCCAGCUCCAAUAGCGUAUAUUAAAGUUGUUGCAGUUAAAAAGCUCGUAGUUGAACCUUGGGCCUGGCUGGCCGGUCCGCCUCACCGCGAGUACUGGUCCGGCUGGGCCUUUCCUUCUGGGGAACCUCAUGGCCUUCACUGGCUGUGGGGGGAACCAGGACUUUUACUGUGAAAAAAUUAGAGUGUUCAAAGCAGGCCUUUGCUCGAAUACAUUAGCAUGGAAUAAUAGAAUAGGACGUGCGGUUCUAUUUUGUUGGUUUCUAGGACCGCCGUAAUGAUUAAUAGGGAUAGUCGGGGGCGUCAGUAUUCAGCUGUCAGAGGUGAAAUUCUUGGAUUUGCUGAAGACUAACUACUGCGAAAGCAUUCGCCAAGGAUGUUUUCAUUAAUCAGGGAACGAAAGUUAGGGGAUCGAAGACGAUCAGAUACCGUCGUAGUCUUAACCAUAAACUAUGCCGACUAGGGAU
rnacentral:rRNA from 1 species